rnacentral:lncRNA from 1 species
GAAAAAAGGAGUGAUCUGAGACAUUUCGAACUCAAAUUUUGCACAUCACUGAGGAGCCUGAAUUUCAGAGGUCAGCCAUGCAACAGAGAAGUGUGUGUGUGUAGAGACAGAGGGCAGCAAGUGACUUCAAAACUGGAACUGUUUAGCACCUCCAUUGUUGGACGCCCCCCUCCAGCAAGAUCACUACCACCGGAUACGGUUAGAUCGGUUGUUCCUCCGUACUCGCCGCUGCACUGCCCCAGCACCUUCUGCAGGGCUUUGGACGCUCACCACAGCUUUGGCCUGCCCAUGUGCAUUACGAGGAGCUGCCUUAGCAGAUCCUCAACGAAUCUGAGUGGGGACGAGAGGUCCGGCCUGGGAGCAUGUGCCAGGGUGAUGCUUUGCCACCUGCAUUCUGACCUCAUCAGAUUUUCUAGCCUCCAGACGGUGCUGCAGAAAACAGUCGGCUGAGUGAUUUAAUACACAAUUUUCUCCCCUCCGAGCCUCUGCGGAUUUCAUUUCACAGUAGGGGGCACUGUGCUGCUGGAGUUUGUCAUCCUGAGAAAAGCUGCGUGAACUCCGGGUUUCCCAGAGGCAUAAAGAUUCCCGGGCACUCUUCAAAGUUACAAUUUUAGCUACAGUCUCUACGCUCAUGCCUAAUUAAGGUAGUUAUAUUUUACUUCAGUUCUUGCUUUGGUUUCUAAUGGAUUUUUCCUCCUCUUUCUCUCCUACACUGCUGUGCAUUGUUAAAGAGCUGCAGUGUUCCAUCCCAGAUAUGGCUAUAUUUUAGUGGUCAGCAAGUAGAUUGCUAUACUGAGUAUUUAGUUAAAUGCUUUGUGGAUCUUUCUGUAUAAAAAGACCUCCAUUGAGACUAAG